rnacentral:rRNA from 1 species
GUGGGGAAUAUUGGACAAUGGGCGCAAGCCUGAUCCAGCCAUGCCGCGUGAGUGAUGAAGGCCCUAGGGUUGUAAAGCUCUUUCACCGGAGAAGAUAAUGACGGUAUCCGGAGAAGAAGCCCCGGCUAACUUCGUGCCAGCAGCCGCGGUAAUACGAAGGGGGCUAGCGUUGUUCGGAUUUACUGGGCGUAAAGCGCACGUAGGCGGAUUGGUCAGUUAGAGGUGAAAUCCCGAAGCUCAACUUCGGAACUGCCUUUAAUACUGCCAGUCUCGAGUCCGGAAGAGGUGAGUGGAACUCCUAGUGUAGAGGUGGAAUUCGUAGAUAUUAGGAAGAACACCAGUGGCGAAGGCGGCUCACUGGUCCGGUACUGACGCUGAGGUGCGAAAGCGUGGGGAGCAAACAGGAUUAGAUACCCCGGUAGUCC